rnacentral:lncRNA from 1 species
UUUUUUUUUUUUUUUUGAAAGGCUAACACCUAAUCAUCCUACUGGCUGUUCCCUGUUCCCUGGACAGAGUUUUCAAUUUGUUGUCAGAUGCUAAGCCCACAAAAGAUUGAAUUGUGCACCCCCCAAAUUCACAUAUCGGAGUCCUAACCCCCAGUGCCUGUGAAUGUGAUCUUGGAAAUAAGGUCUUUGCAGAUGUAAUUAAGAGUAGGUCAGCAUAUGCACAUUGAGGUAUAUGAAAUGACUGGCCAGUAGAGGCCUGCUGUAUAGCACAGAGGACUCUACCCAAUAUUCUGUGACAAUCUAUGUGGGAACAGAAUCUGAAAGAGAAUGGAUGUGUGUAUAUGUAUAACUGAAUCAAUUUUUUGUAUGCCAGAAAUUAUCACAACCUUGAAAAUCAACUAUACUUCAAUAAAACUUUAAAAAGGGGGAGAAAAAUUAGGUCAUUAGGAUGGGUCCUAAUUGAAUAUGACUUGAUGUCCUUAUCAAAAGGGGAAAUUUGGAGACAGACUUGCACACAGGCAAUAUUUCUCAUGUGAACAUGAAGGCAAAAUCAGGGUGAUGUUUCUACAAGCCAGGAAAAAAACAAAAAUUGCCAGCAAACUAUCAGAAACUAGGUGAGAGCCAUAGACCAGAUCUUCCCUGAAGCUCUCAGAAGGAACCAGCCUGGCCAACACCUUGAUCUCAGACAUCCAGCCACCAGUACCGAGACAAGAAAUUCCCAGUUGCGGAGUUCCUGUUGUUGCUCAGUGGUUAGCGAAUCCAACUAGGAACCACGAGUUUGCGGGUUCGAUCCCUGGCCUUGCUCAGUGGGUUAAGGAUCUGGUGUUGCCAUGAGCUGUGGUGUAGGUCGCAGACGCAGCUCAGAUCCUGCAUUGCUGUGGCUCUGGCGUAGGCUGGUGGCUACAGCUCCAAUUAAACCCCUAGCCUCAGAACCUCCAUAUGCCACAGGAGCAGCUCUAGAAAAAGGCAAAAAGACAAAAAAAAAUUUCAGUUGCUUAAGCCAUGCAGUCUGUGGUACUUUGUUCCAGCAGCCCUAGAAAACUAAGCUAGGCACCUCCUUGAAGGGUUGGACUUUCUGGAAGAAAACAAAUGAAUUCACCCCUGCAGGGUUAAUCAGCCCCACAUUGUCCAUACAACCUUAGGCUUGGCUUUCGCCCAUAACAUUUUGAUCAGUGACCCUUGGUUUCUUUCUGCCCGAGAUCCCUUAUAUCUCUCUGGUGGCAAAUUUCCUUGCUGCUCCGGGGUAUGUGGGGAGGACCAAGAAUGGAAGUCUUUGUUUAGAAUUUUCGUGGUAUACACAAAUAAGGAGCAUAUGGGGGAUUUUCAAGCCAGAGGCAUUGCAGAAUUAGGCAAGGGAAGAGAGACUUCAUGUGUUAGACAUUUCCUGUUCAAAUUCAUCAAGAGCUUCUCUAUACCCUCCCUUCCAUGUGUCCUGCUCCCUCCACAAGCCCCAAAUUUGUCAGAGGCUUUCUUAGCAGUGUAAGCCCAACAGGAUGCUGAGAGAAAGGGAUAAGAAAAAAUAGUACAUCAACCCGGAUGAAUGGAAAGAGCCCUGUUUCUUUUUAUGCAUAUAAAUUCAGAAUUGUGAAAAAGAAACAAGUAAGAAAAUUUCCUUCUGAGUGAACAUGCCUUUAAGUGUGUUUAAAUUGUUUAUACAAAGGCUGGCCUUUAGAAAUUAACCCGGUUGCUUCCUUUUCGAUACAGGGACAUGCACUGAAAUUCUGCCUUCAGGCUUUAAGUGGAGACAUCUAUUACUGGCUUGUGUCGUAGCCCAUAGGCUGUAAAGUAGGGUGAGUGGGUCACGUUUAAGGACUAAAAGCUGGUCUAUCCCAGCUCAGCCACUCCAAAAAAGGAGGACUAAAAUCUGGUCUAUCCCAACUCACACAACAGCAUCCCCCCCCGCGGGGGGGGUGAUUUUGGACUCCUUAUUCCCUGAAUGCAGGAUGCCCCCCCCCCCAGCUACUUCCUAUCAUUUAUGAAUGCGCUAUAACAACUUCAUUUCUUUGCUUUGGAAAAGCCCUUUCAAAUGAAAAUAUUUCAUUAGCUGCCAGAGAAUUAGUAAGGCAAGCUGUGAAGAAGGCAUCUCCAUUUGCUUGUGUCUGGGAAGGAGGUUGCCUCCUGGUUAGCACAGGCAUCCCAGUUUCACACCCCAUUAACAGGGUGUUUGUCUGAUUUCUUCCUUUCAACCCAAACCACAGCCCUGGGGAAGCUAGCCAGCCUUCCAGUUUCUGCCGGCGCAGAUCUUCAUGGCCUCAUGGUUCAACUUAGUGGAAGAGAUUUCUUUCAACAGUUGCAGAAGAGGGGCUUCUACACUGAAAUGUAAGCACAGAAACACGUUUCAAUGACGUAUAUACAUUAUGCGAUUUCUUUGUGUUUUGAAUUGUGGUGCUUCUGGAUGAAUCUCCUGAAGACCAGCAUGUAAAAUUGGUAAUUUGUAGUAAUACUAGAAAUGCAAAGAUAAAAAAUAGUCGUCAUUUUAUACUAAGGUAAAUAUGUAUUAUAUGGUAUGGUGCAGGAGAUAGAAUACAGAACAUAAAGCAUAAAACUAAAGAAGUCAGAUUUGGGGAACAUUUAUCAAAGACUUAAAAUGGGCCAGGAAAUGCACUUGGUUCUUCAUGUAUUCUUAGAGUGUGUGUGUGCGUGUGUGUGUGUGUGUGUGUGUGUAGAGAGAGAGAGAGAGAGAGAGAGAGAGAGAGAGAGUGAGAGUAGAUGCCUCUGGAGAAUUUAUACAAGGGUAAUUGAUGUGAAUGUCAUGAAAAGUCAUUUAAGAGUUUGAGGGGAAGCAUAAGGAAGAUAAUUAUGUAUUAAGAAAAGUUAUUUUUUUCCUGAUUUUCAGAAGGGUCUAAUCCUUGAAUACUAUUUCCAAGGUCAAGGCCCAAACUUGGCUUUGAGAUAAUUAAUUGGCCUAUUGCCUGGAGUGAGAAGUUUGGCUUUCAGAGACAGAUACACUAAUCAAAAACAACUUUCAAGAAGAUUUUAUUCUGUCCAAGGCUACCACAGUGACUUGCACAUAGUAUGCCCUCGAAUAAGAGUUUGUCUAGUGGAUGAAGAGAGCAUUUUGUGUUGAAAAGUUGUAUGUAGCAGGAAGGCCCUGUAUUUUUCCCACUAAAGAUGAAGAGGGACUUGUCCGAUUUGCCGUAAGAGAAAUAUAGUUAAUACUGCCAGCUGAGAGUAGAAAGAAAUAUUGGUAAGAGCUUCAAGAGGGUUAAUGUUCUUUCUGGAGGUAUCUAUGGCAAAAGAAAGGUUAAGCAUAGUUCUUCCAAAAAAAAAAAAAUAUGGAUAGGACCUUGAUGCUCUGCUCCUUACUCUCUUUCCCCCUCCAUUUGCUACCUACUGAAAGACAAAGAAAGGCCCAGAAUGGCACUAAAUCCCCCUGAUUCAUGGGUUUUUUCCCUUAUAGUCAAGGUACUCUGCCUUUUUGAGGACACAGAGGUCACUUGGCUCAUGUUACCUGAACUAUAAAGGGGGUACAAAUUAGUUAGGAAUUAGUUCAGUUGAGAGGGAAAGGAAACCCCCCAAAUAAAAUGGCUCAAACAACAUAGAAAUUGAAGAAGCCCAGAGGUAGAUAUCCAGUUCAUGAUGUUGUUAGGAACCACCAUUCUCAUCAUUUAGCUUCUACCGCAUGGUUCAACAUAGCUACUUAAGUUCCAGCCAUCAUGUCUACCUCCUCAUCAGGAGCAAAGAAAGGAUGAAGAAAGGCAUGCCAUAUUCUUAUAAGGACACUUCCCAGAAGUUGCAAAAGACAUGUUUGCUCACGUCUCACUGGCUAGGACUUCCAUGCACACACCCUCAGCUUUAGAGCUGAGUAAUACGGUUUCUAUCUUGAGUAGUCAAAUAUCAGGUAAACACAGGGGUUCUAUUAAAAGAAAGCAGAGGAGGAGUUCUUGUUGUAGUUCAGUGGGUUAAGAACCUGGCUAGUAUCCAUGAGGAUGUGGAUUUGAUACCUGGCCUUGCUCAGUGUGUUAAGGAUCUGGAGUUUUCAUGAGCUGUGGCGUAGGUCUCAGAUGCAGCUUGGAUCUGGCAUUGCUGUGGCAGUGGCAAAGGCUGGCAGCUGCAGCUCAGAUUUGACCCCUAGCCUGGGAACUUCCACAUGCUGCAGGUGCAGCUCUAAAAAGAAAAAAAUGUAUAUGUGUGUGUGUGUAUGUGUGUGUGUGUAUAUGUAUAUAUAAAAGAAAGCAGAGGAAAAGGAGAUUAUCUAUCAUCCUUGCCACAGGAGUAAAUGUGGGACCUUCAAUGGCAAGGUUUGUCACUCAGACCCUGCAAACAUUAUCUACAGCUCUGUCUAUACUCCCCUUGGUUCUUCUAUGGGUUUUCCUGAGUAGCUUAAUUUGAUUCUUGAUAAUAGGAACUCCUAGGCAGGUCUGGAAGGUGGUCACAGGGCUUGGGGUCAGCCUGGAUUCAUUGGAGCAGAGCAGUUUCCAAGCUCUAAUGGACAAAGGCAUCUGAGGCUGUAGGUCUGGGUGGGGCUUGAGAUUCUGCAUUUCUAACAAGCUCCCAAGUGGUGUGAGGCUGCUGGAGCACAGACCACAUUUCCAGUGCAAGCAUUUAGAGAAGGUUCUUUAUGGCCUUCUGUGUCUCAGUUUGUAGUGGAGUAUUCGAGUUAGAGAUGGGCCCGUGGUGGUCAAGGUGUGUCUGUCAGUGGUUCUCAUAUACCUUUGCUUAUAGGACUGCCCUGGGGAGCUUGUUAAAAUACAGAUGUCUAGGAUCCCAACUAUCGUUUAAUGUAACAGGUGGAAGACACUGGAUUUUUCUAACAGACACCCUGAGUAAUUUCUGAUAAAGGUGGCAUUGGAGCUGCACCUUGAGAAGUGUUGGUGCCAGGUUUCCCAAAGGUCUGUCUGGUGAGGGUCUUGACCUCUCAGGUCACAAGCCUAUGAGAUUCUGGCAUUCUGGGAUUUUUGGUUUUAUUGUCUGGUUGAAAUCAUUAAAGGAGAGACAUUUUACUAAUCUUUAUGGCUUGGGAGUAUUUCAUCAAGGCACAUUCAUCUUCCUUGCCUGUGUUAGAACUAAGGGCUUUACUCUUCCAGGAAUUUAGGGUGCCUUUAUCUGCUAGGCACCCUAGCAGAACAUAAUGCCAUAGCUGGUGGCUGAAACAAUAGGCAUUUAUUUCUUAUGGUUGCGGAGGCCGAAUGUCCAAGAGGGGGCCCAGCACGGUCGAGUUCUGGUGAGAGCCCUCUUCCAGGCUUGCAGACAGCUGCCUUCUACCGCUGCUUUAUGGCUGUGCCCUCAUGUGCUCGAGAGAGAGGGAGCUCCGGUCUUGUCCUCUUCUCAGAAGAGGGUGAGAAAUCACCCUCAUGACCUCAUCUAAACUGAAAUAUUUCCAAGAAGGCUCACCUCAAAUACCAUGACUUUGAGGGUUAGGUUUCAACAUAUGUGUUUCGGGGAAGACACUGGCAUGCAGUUCAUAACAUAGAGGGAUUCUGUAUCACCGAGAAUGGUGCUGACAGAUUACCUAGAGGUUUAGUGGGGCAGAGGCAGAUGUAGGGGCAGGGCUGAGGGAGAGUCAGAGGAGGGAGGGAGGAGGGAGGGGGGAAGCUGACCUCCCUCUCCUGGCAUCAUCUAUGCACAGGCACUAGCUGUUGUCUAGCGCUAGCCGUUGUGUAAGCAUGGCUUCAUGUAAUCCUCACCGCCACCUGUGAGGUGGUGGGGUUAUCCCCGUUGACCCCGACAUAUGUUUUGAUCUUCUUUUGCACAUAUUCAAUACUUAAUUUAAACAAGAGUCAGAGAACAGGAAUGGCUUUGGUGAUCAGAGGCUACGAGGGGUCUUUUUCCCUCUUCACCUUGGUACCAUCUUUGCUGCCUGGAUGGUGUUCUUCCCUCCCUCCCUCUCUUGCCCACUUCCUAUCCCAGCAUCGCUUUACCACUUUUAUCUCAUAAUCAUCUCUGCUUAUAAAGGCCCAGUUCAAGUUUUAGGUAGAUUUUUUCUUCACCCUUUCCAGGAGUCUUAGACUGCAGCCCUGCAGUCUUAGAUUUGCUCCUCCCUUCACUUGGAAUAGAUAUCCCCAUGUUGUCCCAGUCAGCCUGGAGACUCAUUAUAUUAAGCAUGGCUUUUAAUUUUCUGUAUUAAAAAAAUUGGAAUGUCAUUGAUUUACAAAGGGGUGUUAAUUUUAAGUGUACAGCAAAGUAAAUCAGCUAUACCUAUAUCAAUUCCUUUUCAGAUUCUUUCCCUGUAUAGGUUAUGACACAGUAUUAAGUGGAUUUUCCUGUGCCAUAUAGUAGGUCCUUGUUAUUUAUCUAUUUUAUAUAUGGUAGUGUGUAUAUGUUAAUCCCAAACCCCUAAUUUAUCCCUCCUUCCACAUUUCACCUUUGGUAACCGUAAGUUUGGUUUCAAAAUCUUUGAAUCUGUUUCUGUUUAGUGAAUAGUUUCUUUUGUAUCCUUUUUAAAUUAGAUUUUAUUAGUGAUUUUGUAUGAUAUUUGUAUUUCUCUGUCUGGCUUCCUUUACUUAGUGUAAUAGUCUCUCAUGUUGCUGCAAAUGGCAAAAUUUCAGUCUUUUUUAUGGGCUAAGUAAUAUUCCGUUGUAUAUAUAUACCACAGAUUCUUU